rfam:Paenibacillus sp. oral taxon 786 str. D14 cont1.268, whole genome shotgun sequence.
UCUAUCGCGAGGUAGAAUCUGAAGGAAGCCGGCGGCAAAUCUCCGGCCCGAGGAACACGAACCUCAUAUGAGGCUGGCAUUCGUUGGAUGAGGCUGCAUGACAAGUCAAAGUCCUUACUGCCGAAGGCGAAUGAGAGUAAAUGAGGCGGGUAGAUGGAGAGGAAGAUAACGCU